AUUUGAAGCAGCGACAUCUCGAUUCUGUACAAAGAAGUCAUUUCACAGUUAGUAGACCGUGUGUCAAUGUCAAAACGAUAGUGCCAAUACUAAUUAGAAAUAAUUUAUUCUGUUUGGACAAAAGGUAUAUUUUUUGUUUUAAAUGCGGAUAUCAAUUCUAAUACAAAAAUAGGUCGCAAUUAUGGCCCGAUCUUCAGGAAAUUUAGAAUGGAGGUGCGGCUAGGGCCAGAAUAGAAGCCUAUUGGAGAUUUUUUUGGAGAUGAUUGCAUAAUAUUUAGGUUGAAAUUGACCAAUACCUUUUCCUGAUUUUGCAGUUGCUCUACAGGUCGCAAUUAUAGACCAAUCGAAGCGGAAGUUAGUUU